rnacentral:lncRNA from 1 species
GAUUUCACCGACACCAAUCUCGUCGGACCUUUACAUAAAAUCAGUGAUGAAGGUCGUAGUUGAGGUUUGGAGGUCGAGCAUAAGGCUGGUAAUGACGAACUCACCUCGGCUCAACGACAAUGGAAACAUGGGUUUGUGGGUUCAUGCGUUCGACUUUCAUGUUGUCUCUUACCUAGUGUUAAAAUUAGGAAGUUAUAAGAAAACUUGUUUUUUUCUUGUCUUUUGAGUAUAAUCGGCUAAUCUAUACAACAUUUGUAAGUUUUUGAGGUAAAAUCGUAAAGAAAUGGAG